UACGGGGGGAGCAAGCGUUGUUCGGAUUUACUGGGCGUAAAGGGCGCGUAGGCGGCCACCGCAAGUCACUUGUGAAAUCUCCGGGCUUAACCCGGAAAGGUCAACUGAUACUGCGGGGCUAGAGUGCAGAAGGGGCAACUGGAAUUCUCGGUGUAGCGGUGAAAUGCGUAGAUAUCGAGAGGAACACCUGAGGUGAAGACGGGUUGCUGGGCCAACACUGACGCUGAUGCGCGAAAGCGUGGGGAGCGAACAGG
rnacentral:rRNA from 1 species